GUACUCACUUUGCUAGCACAUAUACUAAAUUUGAAAAACACAAAGAAGAUUAGUAUGGCUCCUGUGCAAGAAUGACAUGUGAAAUACAAUGAAUCUAU
ensembl:snRNA U6 U6 spliceosomal RNA